CAGCAGCCACGGUAAGACGAGGGAUCCUAGCGUUGUUCGGAAUCAUUGGGCGUAAAGAGUAUGUAGGCGGCUUGGUAAGUCAGUUGUGAAAUCCCCGGGCUUAACCCGGGAAGUGCAAUUGAUACUGCUAAGCUUGAAUUUGGAAGAGGGUAGUGGAAUUCCUGGUGUAGUGGUGAAAUACGUAGAUAUCAGGAGGAACACCGGAGGCGAAGGCGGCUACCUGGUCCUAAAUUGACGCUGAGAUACGAAAGCAUGGGGAUCAAACAGGAUUAGAUACCCCAGUAGUCCCUGUCUCUUAUAC
rnacentral:rRNA from 1 species